AACGAACGCUGGCGGCAGGCCUAACACAUGCAAGUCGAGCGAGGUAGCAAUACCUAGCGGCGGACGGGUGAGUAACGCGUGGGAACGUGCCCCUUGGUACGGAAUAGCCCCGGGAAACUGGGAGUAAUACCGUAUGAGCUCUACGGAGGAAAGAUUUAUCGCCAAGGGAUCGGCCCGCGUUGGAUUAGGUAGUUGGUGGGGUAAUGGCCUACCAAGCCGACGAUCCAUAGCUGGUUUGAGAGGAUGAUCAGCCACACUGGGGCUGAGACACGGCCCAGACUCCUACGGGAGGCAGCAGUGGGGAAUUUUAGACAAUGGGCGCAAGCCUGAUCUAGCCAUGCCGCGUGAGCGAUGAAGGCCUUAGGGUUGUAAAGCUCUUUCAGCUGGGAAGAUAAUGACUGUACCAGCAGAAGAAGCCCCGGCUAACUCCGUGCCAGCCGCCGCAGUAAAAC
rnacentral:rRNA from 1 species